rnacentral:pre_miRNA from 1 species
CCAAGAGAAAGCGUGAAGCUGCCAGCAUGAUCUAUCUGACUUGUGGUGGCAAGUGCCACAGCAAAUUCAGCAACGCCGUGGCUUCGGGGCCGGCAGUGUGGUUAGAUCAUGCUGUGACAGUUUCACUCUUUCCCCUG